AAUCAUUAGCCUCUUAAUUAGGGGCUAGAAUGAAAGGUUCAACAUUUCCUUAACUUUUCUAAAAAUUUCUAAAAAAUCUAUAUUAAAUAUAAAAAUAUAUUUAUAUCUCAAUUAGACGACAAGACCCUUUCAAACUUUACUGAAGUUUAGCUGGGGUAGCUAAAUAAAAAUUAUCUUAUUAAUAAAUACAAAAAUAGACCCAAUUUUAAUUGAUUAAAUGAACAAGUUACUGAAGGGAUAACAGCAUAAUAAAUUUAUAUAGCUCUUAUUAAAAAAUUAGUUUAUGACCUCGAUGUUGAAUUAUUUUACUUCUACACGCAAGAGUAUAGAAAGUAGGUCUGUUCGACCUUUAAAUUUU
rnacentral:rRNA from 1 species